AGCUGUUUCUGUGAUACUAGAACCACCACAUCUGGCACCAUCCAUCUGGCACAGUCAAAGUCGCUUAGAUCACACAUCUUGUCCAUUCUAAUAGGUUGGCUAGUUUGGGAUAGAACCCACAUGUGGUGUAAACUGGUCUGAUGUGUUCCAGUCUCCUGAGAUAGGGGGCGCUGUUUCUAAAAUGAGUCACUCAGGAGAGCCAGACACCAAAGGAGGAACCCUCAGCACUAACAGAAAGAGGGUUCAGGUAGAAAGAGCAGGGUCACCUGUACCCAGCUGUGUGUCUAUGAAGAGUGAUCAUUCAAUCACAUUCAGGUGUCAGUGAGUGUAUUAUGUCACUUUCCGAUGUAGGUGGGUGUAUUAUGUCACAUUGAGGUGUAGUUAGGUGUAUUAUGUCACAUUCAGGUGUAGGUGAAUGUAUUAUGGUGUGUUCACAGCUCGGACAGGAGUGGCUUCAUAUUUCAUGCGAAUU